CAGGGAGACAACAAAAUGUUUAAUAUUAUUAUUUUGUCACCUUAGGUCGAUCGGUAUCUCACAUUCUUAAUUUAUUAAGGAUUUUAUUUCCUAAGUUUUUUCUAGGUCACACCCAUUACUUUUCCUGGGCCAUUAGCUCAGGUGGUUAGAGCGCACCCCUGAUAAGGGUGAGGUCCCUGGUUCAAGUCCAGGAUGGCCCAUAUCUCUAUGUUGGGGGUAUAGCUCAGUUGGUAGAGCGCCUGCUUUGCAAGCAGGAUGUCAGCGGUUCGAGUCCGCUUACCUCCACUGAUUACCACCUCUUCCAUAGUUAUUAUUAAGGAAAUGUUUUGAGUAGUGAUCAAAUUCUGAACGAAUCUAGCUUCCUAAUGAAUUCAUUAAGAUGCUGGACUCAUUGAAUUAAUUUCAUUGUUUUCAGAGAACCUUGACAACUGCAUAGAUUAUUUUUAAAGACAAUAAGCAUCUUUAUGAUGCAGAUUUAUUAUUUGUGCGAAUGCAUUAAUAACAAUUCUAUUAAGCUGAUGCUUCAAUUAUGAAGUUAUU
rnacentral:tRNA from 1 species